rnacentral:rRNA from 1 species
AGUGAACGCUGGCGGUAGGCCUAACACAUGCAAGUCGAACGGCAGCACAGUAAGAGCUUGCUCUUACGGGUGGCGAGUGGCGGACGGGUGAGGAAUACAUCGGAAUCUACUUUUUCGUGGGGGAUAACGUAGGGAAACUUACGCUAAUACCGCAUACGACCUACGGGUGAAAGCAGGGGAUCUUCGGACCUUGCGCGAUUGAAUGGGCCGAUGUCGGAUUAGCUAGUUGGCGGGGUAAAGGCCCACCAAGGCGACGAUCCGUAGCUGGUCUGAGAGGAUGAUCAGCCACACUGGAACUGAGACACGGUCCAGACUCCUACGGGAGGCAGCAGUGGGGAAUAUUGGACAAUGGGCGCAAGCCUGAUCCAGCCAUACCGCGUGGGUGAAGAAGGCCUUCGGGUUGUAAAGCCCUUUUGUUGGGAAAGAAAAGCAGCAGGUUAAUACCCCGCUGUUCUGACGGUACCCAAAGAAUAGGCACCGGCUAACUUCG